rnacentral:rRNA from 1 species
GGUUAAGCGAAUAAGCGUACACGGUGGAUGCCUAGGCAAUCAGAGGCGAUGAAGGACGUGCUAAUCUGCGAUAAGCGUCGGUAAGGUGAUAUGAACCGUUAUACCCGACGAUUUCCGAAUGGGGAAACCCAAUAUCCAAUGGAUAUUAUCAUUAACUGAAUACAUAGGUUAAUGAAGCGAACCGGGAGAACUGAAACAUCUCAGUACCCCGAGGAAAAGAAAUCAACCGAGAUUCCCCUAGUAGCGGCGAGCGAACGGGGAACAGCCCAGAGUCUUAAUCAAUAGCAGCAUCAGGAGAACGGUCUGGAAAGUCCGGCAGUAAAGGGUGAUAGCCCCGUAUCCGAAGAUGCUGUUAUUGUGAACUCGACGAGUAGGGCGGGACACGUGUUAUCCUGUCUGAAUAUGGGGGGACCAUCCUCCAAGGCUAAAUACUCCUGAUUGACCGAUAGUGAACCAGUACCGUGAGGGAAAGGCGAAAAGAACCCCGGCGAGGGGAGUGAAAAAGAACCUGAAACCGUGUACGUACAAGCAGUAGGAGCCCCACCACUAAGCUAGUGGUGAACUCACAGCGAUUCUUUUGCAUGAUAAUGUGCGGUAGACGGAGCGAAUGCGACGUCCAACCAACAAAAUCAAGCAGAGGAGGCUUAGUGGUGGGGUGACUGCGUACCUUUUGUAUAAUGGGUCAGCGACUUAUAUUCUGUAGCAAGGUUAACCGUAUAGGGGAGCCGUAGGGAAACCGAGUCUUAACUGGGCGAAUGAGUUGCAGGGUAUAGACCCGAAACCCGGUGAUCUAUCCAUGGGCAGGUUGAAGGUUGGGUAACACUAACUGGAGGACCGAACCGACUAAUGUUGAAAAAUUAGCGGAUGACUUGUGGAUGGGGGUGAAAGGCCAAUCAAACCGGGAGAUAGCUGGUUCUCCCCGAAAGCUAUUUAGGUAGCGCCUCGUGAACUCAUCUUCGGGGGUAGAGCACUGUUUCGACUAGGGGGUCAUCCCGACUUACCAACUCGAUGCAAACUGCGAAUACCGAAGAAUGUUAUCACGGGAGACACACGGCGGGUGCUAACGUCCGUCGUGAAGAGGGAAACAACCCAGACCGCCAGCUAAGGUCCCAAAGUCAUGGUUAAGUGGGAAACGAAGUGGGAAGGCUCAGACAGCCAGGAUGUUGGCUUAGAAGCAGCCAUCAUUUAAAGAAAGCGUAAUAGCUCACUGGUCGAGUCGGCCCGCGCGGAAGAUGUAACGGGGCUAAACCAUGCACCGAAGCUGCGGCAGCGACACUAAGUGUUGUUGGGUAGGGGAGCGUUCUGUAAGCCUGCGAAGGUGUACUGUGAGGUAUGCUGGAGGUAUCAGAAGUGCGAAUGCUGACAUAAGUAACGAUAAUGCGGGUGAAAAACCCGCACGCCGGAAGACCAAGGGUUCCUGUCCAACGUUAAUCGGGGCAGGGUGAGUCGACCCCUAAGGCGAGGCUGAAAAGCGUAGUCGAUGGGAAACGGGUUAAUAUUCCCGUACUGGUGGUAACUGCGAUGGGGGAACGGAGAAGGCUAGGUUGUCCGGGCGACGGUCGUCCCGGUUCAAGCAUGUAGGCAGAGUGAUUAGGCAAAUCCGGUCACUUAAUGCUGAGGUGUGAUGACGAGCCACUAAGGUGGUGAAGCAAUUGAUGCCCUGCUUCCAGGAAAAGCCUCUAAGCUUCAGGUUACCAACAAUCGUACCCCAAACCGACACAGGUGGUCAGGUAGAGAAUACUCAGGCGCUUGAGAGAACUCGGGUGAAGGAACUAGGCAAAAUGGUGCCGUAACUUCGGGAGAAGGCACGCUGGCGGUAAGUGAAGUCCCUUGCGGACGGAGCCGAAGCCAGUCGAAGAUACCAGCUGGCUGCAACUGUUUAUUAAAAACACAGCACUGUGCAAACACGAAAGUGGACGUAUACGGUGUGACGCCUGCCCGGUGCUGGAAGGUUAAUUGAUGGGGUUAUCCUUAGGGAGAAGCUCUUGAUCGAAGCCCCAGUAAACGGCGGCCGUAACUAUAACGGUCCUAAGGUAGCGAAAUUCCUUGUCGGGUAAGUUCCGACCUGCACGAAUGGCGUAAUGAUGGCCAGGCUGUCUCCACCCGAGACUCAGUGAAAUUGAACUCGCUGUGAAGAUGCAGUGUACCCGCGGCAAGACGGAAAGACCCCGUGAACCUUUACUAUAGCUUGACACUGAACAUUGAGCCUUGAUGUGUAGGAUAGGUGGGAGACUAUGAAGUGUGGACGCCAGUCUGCAUGGAGUCAACCUUGAAAUACCACCCUUUAACGUUUGAUGUUCUAACCUAGGUCCAUAAUCUGGAUCGGGGACCGUGUCUGGUGGGUAGUUUGACUGGGGCGGUCUCCUCCUAAAGAGUAACGGAGGAGCACGAAGGUUGGCUAAGCAUGGUCGGACAUCAUGCGGUUAGUGCAAAGGCAUAAGCCAGCUUGACUGUGAGAGUGACGGCUCGAGCAGGUACGAAAGUAGGUCUUAGUGAUCCGGUGGUUCUGAAUGGAAGGGCCAUCGCUCAACGGAUAAAAGGUACUCCGGGGAUAACAGGCUGAUACCGCCCAAGAGUUCAUAUCGACGGCGGUGUUUGGCACCUCGAUGUCGGCUCAUCACAUCCUGGGGCUGAAGUAGGUCCCAAGGGUAUGGCUGUUCGCCAUUUAAAGUGGUACGCGAGCUGGGUUUAGAACGUCGUGAGACAGUUCGGUCCCUAUCUGCCGUGGGCGUUGGAAGAUUGAGAGGGGUUGCUCCUAGUACGAGAGGACCGGAGUGAACGCACCACUGGUGUUCGGGUUGUCAUGCCAAUGGCAUUGCCCGGUAGCUAAGUGCGGAAGAGAUAACCGCUGAAAGCAUCUAAGCGGGAAACUUGCCUCGAGAUGAGUCUUCCCUGUCACCUAGAGUGACCUAAAGGAACGUUUAAGACUAAGACGUUGAUAGGCUGGGUGUGUAAGCGUAGCGAUACGUUGAGCUAACCAGUACUAAUGAACCGUGAGGCUUAACCUG